rnacentral:rRNA from 1 species
GUUUGACCUCGGAUCAGGUAGGGAUACCCGCUGAACUUAAGCAUAUCAAUAAGCGGAGGAAAAGAAACCAACAGGGAUUGCCUCAGUAACGGCGAGUGAAGCGGCAACAGCUCAAAUUUGAAAUCUGGCCUCUUCGGGGUCCGAGUUGUAAUUUGUAGAGGAUGCUUCGGAGUCGGCUCCGGUCUAAGUGCCUUGGAACAGGACGUCACAGAGGGUGAGAAUCCCGUAUGUGGCCGGCCGCCUUCUCCAUGUGAAGCUCCUUCGACGAGUCGAGUUGUUUGGGAAUGCAGCUCUAAAUGGGAGGUAAAUUUCUUCUAAAGCUAAAUAUUGGCCAGAGACCGAUAGCGCACAAGUAGAGUGAUCGAAAGAUGAAAAGCACUUUGGAAAGAGAGUUAAAAAGUACGUGAAAUUGUUGAAAGGGAAGCGCUUGCAACCAGACUUGCCCGCGGUUGCUCAACCGGCCUUUUGGCUCGGUGCACUCUUCCGCGGUCAGGCCAGCAUCGGUUCGGGCGGUCGGAUAAAGGCCUUGGGAAUGUAGCACCCUUCGGGGUGUGUUAUAGCCCUCGGUGCAAUGCGGCCAGCCUGGACCGAGGUCCGCGCUUCGGCUAGGAUGCUGGCGUAAUGGUUGUAAGCGGCCCGUCUUGAAACACGGACCAAGGAGUCUAACAUCUAUGCGAGUGUUUGGGUGUCAAACCCAUGCGCGUAAUGAAAGUGAACGGAGGUGGGAACCCUAGGGUGCACCAUCGACCGAUCCUGAUGUCUUYGGAAGGAUUUGAGUAUGAGCAUAGCUGUUGGGACCCGAAAGAUGGUGAACUAUGCCUGAAUAGGGUGAAGCCAGAGGAAACUCUGGUGGAGGCUCGCAGCGGUUYUGACGUGCAAAUCGAUCGUCAAAUUUGGGUAUAGGGGCGAAAGACUAAUCGAACCAUUGACGGAAAGUUAGCUACUAGGUGGUUUAGAGGCGAUCCCGUCCCUGGUGGAAGGGUCGCCUAGUCCCCACAUCCGGGGCUACACUACUAAAUUGCGGGGACGCUCUGAGGGCUCGAGACUACCSCGGCCGCCCCGAAAGGGACGGUGCAGCACCGGGGUGUACCACCCCGCGGUACGGUGAGAACGUCCGAGACUGAGCAACCGCGCAGCCAAGUCCUAACCCGGGCGACCCCCGGCACGGAUGCAGUUCACAGACUAGACGGUAGUGGGUGCGAAUCGCUCGCGCUUAAGAUAUAGUCGGACCCCCUCGAGAGGAGGGUUCGCGGGAGGAAGCCCUCGCGCCGGAUGCCCCUUCGACUCUUCGUCGGAGGGGGCGCGUCGGGGGCCCGAAGCCCGCGAAGGGGGAGGCUCCGCCCUUUUUUCGAAGAGGUGCGGU